rnacentral:rRNA from 1 species
UAAUAGCGUAUAUUAAAGUUGUUGCAGUUAAAAGCUCGUAGUCGGAUCUUGGGGUCGGACGGACUGUCGGCCAAUGGUCGGACGGUUUGUUUGUCUCUUUUUUCUAGGAGGGCGUCACCAUUUAUUUGGGGGCGAUUCCGCUUAGAUCGUUUACUUUGAAAAAUUAGAGUGUUCAAAGCAGGCCAUCGCUUGAAUACAUUAGCAUGGAAUAAUGGAAUAGGACUGCGGUUCUAUUUUGUUGGUUUCUAGGACCGAAGUAAUGAUUAAUAGGGAUAGUUGGGGCCGUUUGUAUUCCAUUGUCAGAGGUGAAAUUCUUGGAUUUAUGGAAGACAAACUUCUGCGAAAGCAUUCGGCAAGGAUGUUUUCAUUGAUCAAGAACGAAAGUUAGGGGAUCGAAGAUGAUUAGAU